rnacentral:tRNA from 1 species
UCCCUGGCGGUCCAAUGGUUAGGACUCAGCGCUUUAACUGCCGUGGCCCCAGGUUCAAUCCCUGGUCAGGGAA